AGUGAACGCUGGCGGUAGGCCUAACACAUGCCAGUCGAACGGCAGCACAGUAAGAGCUUGCUCUUACGGGUGGCGAGUGGCGGACGGGUGAGGAAUACAUCGGAAUCUACUUUUUCGUGGGGGAUAACGUAGGGAAACUUACGCUAAUACCGCAUACGACCUACGGGUGAAAGCAGGGGAUCUUCGGACCUUGCGCGAUUGAAUGAGCCGAUGUCGGAUUAGCUAGUUGGCGGGAUAAAGGCCCACCAAGGCGACGAUCCGUAGCUGGUCUGAGAGGAUGAUCAGCCACACUGGAACUGAGACACGGUCCAGACUCCUACGGGAGGCAGCAGUGGGGAAUAUUGGACAAUGGGCGCAAGCCUGAUCCAGCCAUACCGCGUGGGUGAAGAAGGCCUUCGGGUUGUAAAGCCCUUUUGUUGGGAAAGAAAAGCAGCAGGUUAAUACCCCGCUGUUCUGACGGUACCCAAAGAAUAAGCACCGGCUAACUUCGUG
rnacentral:rRNA from 1 species